GACGAACGCUGGCGGCGUGCUUAACACAUGCAAGUCGAACGGCAAGACCCUGCUUUUGUGGGGUUCUCGAGUGGCGAACGGGUGCGUAACACGUGAAUAACCUGCCCUUGACUUUGGGGUAACUUCAGGAAGCUGGGGCUAAUACCGUAUAGGAUCUCCUGCUGCAUGGUGGGGGUUGGAAAUUCUCGGCCGUUGGGGAUGGACUGGCGGCUUAUCAGCUUGUUGGUGGGGUAGGGGUUUACCAACGCUGUGACCGGUCGCCGGCCUGAGAGGGGGAACGGGCACAUGGCGCCUACGAUAGGGAGCAGACGCGAAUGGUAGGCAGCAGGGGGGAAUAUGGCACAAUGGUCGCAAGUCUGAUGCAGAAACGCUGCGUGCGUGAUGACGGCCUUUGGGUUGUAAACCGCUUCCGCUUGUGACGAAGCGUGAGUGACGGUAAUGGGUAAAGAAGCACCGGCUAACUACGUG
rnacentral:rRNA from 1 species